rnacentral:rRNA from 1 species
CCAGCAGCCGCGGUAAUACGGAGGGUGCGAGCGUUAAUCGGAAUUACUGGGCGUAAAGCGCAUGCAGGUGGUUUGUUAAGUCAGAUGUGAAAGCCCGGGGCUCAACCUCGGAAUUUGCAUUUGAAAACUGGCAAACUAGAGUACUGUAGAGGGGGUAGAAUUUCAGGUGUAGCGGUGAAAUGCGUAGAGAUCUGAAGGAAUACCGGUGGCGAAGGCGGCCCCCUGGACAGAUACUGACACUCAGAUGCGAAAGCGUGGGGAGCAAACAGGAUUAGAUACCCUGGUAG